UGAUAUUACCCACAAUAAAUAUAAUCUAAAUAGGUAACACAUGUUAAGCACAAGUGACUGUUUAUUAAAUGAUAAGAUAAUCAUUUCACUCAUUAUUCUAUUUAAGUGCCAAAAAUGAGACCAACAAUAUUUUUACUCAUUUCAGUGAUUUUGGUUGUUAAUUCAGGAUCACAAUACUGUGAGCCAAAAGAUGAGUUUCCAGACGAUAAUUCAGAUACCGCCGACACGGAAUGGGAUCUUUUUAUGGAUAAACUUGACCAAGUUACGUUGAAAAAAAAUUAUACAAAACCUUGCAAAAGACACCCCGAUCAGCAGGUAGUCAUCAAUGCGAGUUCACCCAUUUUGUGGGAAUUACGCUUUGAUUUAUACAACAAGAGGCAGCAAAAAGAAGAAAAGACAAUCGAGCAAUGUUAUUCGGAAAAUCAAGGAAAAACACCUAAUACAGGUUGCAAUACCGAGGGCUUUAGAGAGUGCAUGAAAAGUGCAAGAAGGGCGAUGCUCGAAGAUUUGAAUUCCAAAUGGUGGGAGAGCAAAAUUAACAAGAAGUUGGAGGAAAAAGCCGAAGCUUGUUAAUGUAUUUAUUAAAACUGUUGCAAUUCGGGAUAAAUGUCUCAUUGCAAAGUAAAAUUUUAUAACUUAUUGUAACUGAAAAAUAAACAUACUAAAAAGUC